CUGUUGUGUGGGAAGAUAAUGACGGUACCACACGAGGAAGCCCCGGCAAACUACGUGCCAGCAGCCGCGGUAAUACGUAGGGGGCGAGCGUUGUUCGGAAUUACUGGGCGUAAAGCGCACGCAGGCGGACCAGUAAGUCUGUCGUCAAAGGCGGAGGCUCAACCUUCGUUCCACGAUAGAUACUGCGGGUCUAGAGUAUGUGAGAGGGAAGUGGAAUUCCCGGUGUAGCGGUGAAAUGCGUAGAGAUCUUGAGGAAUACCGGUGGCGAAGGCGGCCCCCUGGACAAAGACUGACGCUCAGGUGCGAAAGCGUGGGGAGCAAACAGGAUUAGAUACCCUGGUAGUCCACG
rnacentral:rRNA from 1 species